CAGAGGGGCUGCGCCUCUGUAUCUCUCUCAUUUUCUUUCACGAUGAAACAGAAAUUAGAAAAAAAGAAACGCUCUUCUCUCUCGAUCCUCAUGCGAUUUUCUCUCAUGGUGGACAACAAUCAUCACUCGACCUCAUUCUCUCGGUCUCUCACGAUGACAUCUUUCUCGCUGAAUUCUUUCUCUCACGGUUAAGAGCAACCACAAUGGCAAACGACCUCCCCUUCUCCGUUCAGCCACCGUGAUAUCCUUCAGCGAUAACCACGAUCUCUUCCUUGGUCGCCUCUACCUCUCUCGCGAGUGCACUCUCUCAACAACAACAAACUCGGUUUCUCUCCCUGUGAAACAACAACAACAGCGACAACCUGUGUGUCUCUCUCGAUCGGUUUUUUUAUCUCUCACGAGGAACAACGAUAGCAACAACUUCUCAGAAUGCUCUCGGUUCUCUCUUGUUCAUGUGAACUAAAACAAAAGCUUCUGGCCUCUUUUGAUUGAAGACAAACUCAAGAUACAACAAUAAUUAAAACGAGGUUGAGAGUGAGGGCAGAAUCGACUUACUUACGGCAAGGAGAUUUUUGCCGGAUUUAUGUUGAGCGCCGGUGUUGAAGUUUGCAGGUGUGCUUCGUGUAGGUGAGCAAGAACCGUCGGGCACCGUAUUGAAGAUGAUGUGGGGCUGCCACUGAAGUCCGAAGGCUUUUGAUGAAGGUGAUGCCACAACACCUCUUUGGACUUAUGGGAGCGCCUUGAAGAUGGAACUUCAAGUUGUUGGAAGCUUGAAGAUGAAGAUCUUCAAGAAAGGUAUGAAGAACUACCUUCUCCUUCUUCCUUACUUUGUAACUAGAAUGCUCACCUCCAAUAGAGAAUCUCUUGGCUUGAGAAUUUCUUCUUGCCAAGAGGUCUAUUGAACAAUAUAUGAGCAAUAGAGAGAGAAGAGAGAAAGCAAGAACUUAAGUUGCUUUGGUGUGAUUUGUAUGAAGGAUAGCACUUCUAUUUAUAGGCAAAGAAAAGGGUAUGUUAGGCAUUAUGUAACUUGGUAGUCAAGUUUGUGAUUAUGGCAAGAAAAGAAUAUUCCCUUUAGGCUAAUCAUUACCAAGUAAUCAUUGCCAAGCUUUCUUAGUUGUUGAAUUUUCUUGGUGGCCAAGUUCCAUAAAUUUGUGCACAUGGGAUAUAUUAUGCACAUGGGAUGGAUUCUUCACAAAAUCUUGUAGUUCCACGACAAGCUUCAUUUUAUGUCAAAAAUUGGUAACUUCUAAGUGUAGUAGUUUAUGACAUAAAAUAUAUUUCUUUGACUUUUUGACUUUUUGACUUUGUUUUGGGCUUUUGGGCCCUCUUGAAUUGUUUUGGUUGGACUUUUGCUAAUUCCACCCUUUUUGUUUCUUUUUCA